rnacentral:tRNA from 1 species
AGCCCUAUAACUCAGUCGGAGAGUGCCUCUCUUACAAAGAGGAAGUCGCAGGUUCAAUCCCUGCUAGGGCUACCA